UGUCUCAAAGUUCGAAAUAGAAAGACCCGGCUUGGCGAUAUGGCGAUAGAGUUAAUGAGAAGAAUACAAAUGUUGUAUGUAAGUUUUGUAACAAGACGACAACGGGUGGAAUUUAUCGCUUUAAAUACCAUCUUAUUGGUGGCGAUAGAAAUGUCACAAGUUGUCCGAAAUGCCCACCGGAGGUGAGGGAAGAAAUAAAGAAUUUUGUUGAGAAGAAGAAGGAGCAAAAAAAUCAAAUGAGUCAUCAACCAAUGGUGACCAAUCUUGAUGAUGAUAUUGAAGAAUUGUCACUUCCAACAAAACGGGGAAGAGAUGGGUCAAGCUAUGGAUCAUCGACUAAAGGUCCUAUAGAUUGCUUUUUCCCGAAGAAGCCGGAAGCACAGAGCGGUGGAAAAGAUGUACAAAAAAUUGCUAAAGACAUUAUGAUGCUGGGCUCCCCUUCAAUUGUGUCAACUAUGACACUUUUGGAGACUUUAUUGAGGUCGUUGGUUAAUACGGACUUGGAAUGAAGCCUCCCACUUAUCAUAAAAUAAGAGGUCCUUAUCUAAAUAAGGAAGUAGAGGAGACUAAUAAAAUUGUUGAGGAGCAUAAAGUUGUGUGGAACAAGUAUGGCUGCUCCAUUAUGAUGGAUAAGUGGAUGGCAAGAACUGGGAAAAUGAUUAUUAAUGUGUUGGUGAAUUCUCCCAGGGGAAGUUUGUUUCUUGAGUCCAUUGAUGCUAGCGACUCAUCCACUGACCAUAUCAAAAUGUUCACCUUGUUUCAGAACACCAUCGAAAAUAUUGGCCCAAGCAAAGUUGUUCAAGUGGUCACUGAUAAUGCAAGUGAAAAUGUGAAAGCGGGUGGCAUGAUUGAAGGAGCGUACAAGAAUGUCUAUUGGACUCCAUGUGCGGCUCAUUGUAUCAACUUGAUGUUCGGGGACAUUUUCAAGGAAAAACCCUUCUCUACAGUUUUUGGCCAGGGCGUUAGGGUACAUUCUUAUAUUUCUCAGCGGCCCUUGUUAUUGAAUACGAUGAGAAGAUUCCUCAUGCAAAAAAAUUUGGUGAAACCGGGCAAGACAAGGUUCGCCACUGCUUUCUUGACUUUGCAUAGUAUCCACUUGCAAAAAGGCAAUUUGAGAAAGAUGGUCACUUCAGAGGAAUGGAGCAAGAGUAAAUUUGCAAAGGAAAGUGCGGGGAGAGAGGUUGCACGCAUUAUUCUUUCUUAUUCUUUUUGGAAUAAUGUCCUUCAUGCUCUUAAAAUUGGUUUCCCUUUGGUUAAAGUACUCCGUUUGGUGGAUGGGGAGCAAAAACCACCAAUGGGCUACCUCUAUGAAGCUAUGGAUAGGGCCAAGGAGGCUAUUCAAGCAUCAUUUACUGAUGAGCAGAAAUAUGCAAAGGUCUUUCAGAUCAUUGACGCAAGAUGGAAUGAGCAACUUCAUAGACCUUUGCAUGCAGCUGGACUUAUUCUGAACCUGUCACUCUUUUAUGAUCAGCAUGAGAAUAAUUCAUUGGCUAAAGAAGUGGAAUGAGCAACUUCCCAGACCUUUGCAUGCAGUUGGACUUAUUCUGAACCCGUCACUCUUUUAUGAUCAGCAUGAGAAUAAUUCAUUGGCUAAAGAAGUGGACAGGAUUCCAUCAGGUUGUUAUCAAGUUGACCCCAGAUGAAGACUUGCAAGAAAAGAUAGUAGAUCAGCUUGCUACUUACAAGGCAGCUGAAGGACUUUUUAAGCUUCGACUUGCUAUUAAACAAAGAAAGACGAAGUCGCCAGUUGAGUGGUGGGACCAAUAUGGUGUACAGACUCCGGAGUUACAGACUUUCGCCAUCAAAGUUCUAAGUUUAACUUGUAGCUCAUCCGGAUGUGAAAGGAACUUGAGUGUUUUUGAACACAUUCAUACAAAGAAGAGGAAUCGACUAACCUUGAAGCGCCUCCAUAAUCUAGUGUUCAUAAAAUACAAUAGAGCAUUGAGGCGUCGCUACAACCACCGCAAUAUAAUUCAUCCAAUUCUUUUGGACAAUAUUGAUGAGGCUAAUGAAUGGAUAACCGGAGUCCCCGAAAAUUGUGAAGAUGAAGAAGUAUUUAAAGGCGACUCCGAUUUCACUUGGGGUGAUGUUGCGGUUGGUAGUGGAGUUGGGGAGAAUCCUUAUGGUUUAAGGAGAUAUACUCCAAGUUCAAGCUCUAUUAGGAAGGGAAAAAGUGUGGCUACUACAAGUCGAUCCCUAUCCCUAAUUGAUGAAGUUGAAAGUGAUUAUGAAGAGGAGGGGGAAGAAGAAGAUGACAAGUAAUAUGAAGAUAAUAGAGGAAUUCAAGAUUUUGACAAUCUUGAAGAAGAAGAAGAAGAGUAGAAGAAUAAGAUGUUUAUUCUAGUAUAGUAGCUUUAAUUUUGCUUGUCCUAUGGUUUGUGGAUGAUUUGGUGGUACCUAGUACCUACUUUUAAGUUUUUAAAUUGAAGUUUUUGAUUAUUUAUAAUUUUACAUUAUGUUUUUUAAGAAUUGCGCUUCACUUUAAUAAAGCGUGCGCUUCGCUUUUGAAGCGAGGCGAGCCCUUGUCGCUU